rnacentral:rRNA from 1 species
GACGAACGCUGGCGGCGUGCCUAACACAUGCAAGUCGAACGGAAAGGUCCUGUUUUUGUGCGGUGCUCGAGGUGCGAACGGGUGAGUAACACGUGAGUAACCUGUCCCUGACUGUGGGAUAACUUAAGGAAACUUGGGCUCAUACCGGAAAGGAGCUCCUGCUUCAUGGUGGGGGUUGGAAAGUUUCGGCGGUUGGGGAUGGACUCGCCGCUUAUCAGAUUGUUGGUGGGGUAGUGGCUUACCAAGGUUUUGACGGGUAGCCGGCCUGAGAGGGUGACCGGCCACAUUGGGACGGAGAUACGGCCCAGACUCGUACGGGAGGCAGCAGUGGGGUAGAUUGCACGAUGCGCGGAAGCCUGGUGCAGCAACGCCGCGUGCGGGAUGACAGCCUGCGGUUUGUAAGGCGCAUUCGCCUGUGACGGAACGUUAGUGACGGUAAUGGGUAAAGAAGCACCGGCUAACUACGUG